rnacentral:lncRNA from 1 species
GGGAUUCAACUGUCUUCUUAUUAAUAAUGCAGAGUACAACGCAGAUACAAACAAGGUAGUUCCGGUACGGACUACAAAACAAGGAAAAUGCUAUGCUACCCGCUGCAGGCCCACGAUCACGACCACGGCUCAGUCCUCUGGAUAGUUCACGUAAAGGCGAUCUGUCUCCUCGUCGUACUGCCACGCCAGCUGGGUGCCGUCGGAAUCAUCUGUCUCUG